rnacentral:rRNA from 1 species
GGGUUGUGAGGUUAAGCGACUAAGCGUACACGGUGGAUGCCCUGGCAGUCAGAGGCGAUGAAGGACGUGCUAAUCUGCGAUAAGCGUCGGUAAGGUGAUAUGAACCGUUAUAACCGGCGAUUUCCGAAUGGGGAAACCCAGUGUGUUUCGACACACUAUCAUUAACUGAAUCCAUAGGUUAAUGAGGCGAACCGGGGGAACUGAAACAUCUAAGUACCCCGAGGAAAAGAAAUCAACCGAGAUUCCCCCAGUAGCGGCGAGCGAACGGGGAGGAGCCCAGAGCCUGAAUCAGUGUGUGUGUUAGUGGAAGCGUCUGGAAAGGCGUGCGAUACAGGGUGACAGCCCCGUACACAAAAAUGCACAUAUUGUGAGCUCGAUGAGUAGGGCGGGACACGUGGUAUCCUGUCUGAAUAUGGGGGGACCAUCCUCCAAGGCUAAAUACUCCUGACUGACCGAUAGUGAACCAGUACCGUGAGGGAAAGGCGAAAAGAACCCCGGCGAGGGGAGUGAAAAAGAACCUGAAACCGUGUACGUACAAGCAGUGGGAGCCUCUUUAUGGGGUGACUGCGUACCUUUUGUAUAAUGGGUCAGCGACUUAUAUUCUGUAGCAAGGUUAACCGAAUAGGGGAGCCGAAGGGAAACCGAGUCUUAACUGGGCGUUAAGUUGCAGGGUAUAGACCCGAAACCCGGUGAUCUAGCCAUGGGCAGGUUGAAGGUUGGGUAACACUAACUGGAGGACCGAACCGACUAAUGUUGAAAAAUUAGCGGAUGACUUGUGGCUGGGGGUGAAAGGCCAAUCAAACCGGGAGAUAGCUGGUUCUCCCCGAAAGCUAUUUAGGUAGCGCCUCGUGAAUUCAUCUCCGGGGGUAGAGCACUGUUUCGGCAAGGGGGUCAUCCCGACUUACCAACCCGAUGCAAACUGCGAAUACCGGAGAAUGUUAUCACGGGAGACACACGGCGGGUGCUAACGUCCGUCGUGAAGAGGGAAACAACCCAGACCGCCAGCUAAGGUCCCAAAGUCAUGGUUAAGUGGGAAACGAUGUGGGAAGGCCCAGACAGCCAGGAUGUUGGCUUAGAAGCAGCCAUCAUUUAAAGAAAGCGUAAUAGCUCACUGGUCGAGUCGGCCUGCGCGGAAGAUGUAACGGGGCUAAACCAUGCACCGAAGCUGCGGCAGCGACACUAUGUGUUGUUGGGUAGGGGAGCGUUCUGUAAGCCUGUGAAGGUGGCCUGUGAGGGUUGCUGGAGGUAUCAGAAGUGCGAAUGCUGACAUAAGUAACGAUAAAGCGGGUGAAAAGCCCGCUCGCCGGAAGACCAAGGGUUCCUGUCCAACGUUAAUCGGGGCAGGGUGAGUCGACCCCUAAGGCGAGGCCGAAAGGCGUAGUCGAUGGGAAACAGGUUAAUAUUCCUGUACUUGGUGUUACUGCGAAGGGGGGACGGAGAAGGCUAUGUUGGCCGGGCGACGGUUGUCCCGGUUUAAGCGUGUAGGCUGGUUUUCCAGGCAAAUCCGGAAAACCAAGGCUGAGGCGUGAUGACGAGGCACUACGGUGCUGAAGCGACAAAUGCCCUGCUUCCAGGAAAAGCCUCUAAGCAUCAGGUAACAUCAAAUCGUACCCCAAACCGACACAGGUGGUCAGGUAGAGAAUACCAAGGCGCUUGAGAGAACUCGGGUGAAGGAACUAGGCAAAAUGGUGCCGUAACUUCGGGAGAAGGCACGCUGAUAUGUAGGUGAAGCGACUUGCUCGUGGAGCUGAAAUCAGUCGAAGAUACCAGCUGGCUGCAACUGUUUAUUAAAAACACAGCACUGUGCAAACACGAAAGUGGACGUAUACGGUGUGACGCCUGCCCGGUGCCGGAAGGUUAAUUGAUGGGGUUAGCGGUAACGCGAAGCUCUUGAUCGAAGCCCCGGUAAACGGCGGCCGUAACUAUAACGGUCCUAAGGUAGCGAAAUUCCUUGUCGGGUAAGUUCCGACCUGCACGAAUGGCGUAAUGAUGGCCAGGCUGUCUCCACCCGAGACUCAGUGAAAUUGAACUCGCUGUGAAGAUGCAGUGUACCCGCGGCAAGACGGAAAGACCCCGUGAACCUUUACUAUAGCUUGACACUGAACAUUGAGCCUUGAUG